UGAAGGAGGCAGAGGAAUAGCUAAACAUUUGACACUCCGAUCAAGAGAGAGCAGGAGAGAGAGAGAAGCCAUUGCUAGCUGCUAAGCUAAAGAACGAUAGCUAACAAAACUGAAUAGCUUGUAAACUGUAGGAUUAGAGAGAAAGUCGUUAAAAGAAGGAGAGAGUUAUGAGUGCUUGAUCAGAACUAGUGUACGUUCAAAUGUAUAGCAGAUAAUUAGCUGCUGUAAUGAAGAAUCAAACUAAAUUAACUAGGAUGAGCAAGAGCAGCAAAAAUAUGCUUCCAGUUUGAUUCAGACCUGGUUACAAACUACAAGAGCAGACAGCCUAAUGUCAUCCUCAAGAGUCCUGGUGAAAACAAGCGCUAACGGGAGUAUCAGAAUUUCAGUCAGAAUAUCUUCUUCAGUUCUAUUCAUUUUACUUGCCUAUUAAAAUUAAGAAAAGGUUAGAGGAAUGAGGGAAGAGAAAUCUGUGAUUCUUAGAUGCAUCAGCUAAUCUCCCAGAACCACCUGAAAGCAAGGAUGUAGGAGACAUCUUCUGCAGGUAGACACACACACACACACACACACACACACACUUUCUGGAUAUUUGGGGGUCAAUAAUUUUACACUGAAAUGGGCCAUUCUGUUUAAUUUGUACUUUUACUUUUGAUGCUUUAGGUAAAUUUUGCUGGUAAUAUUGAGUACUUCCUCCACCACUGUCAGUACGAUGUACUUCAUUCAUUCACUAAUACUUGUGCCUUAAAAUGAAUGUGUUUUAAUGUAAAAACAGUUGUAGGCCUUUCCUGUGAAAGUAGAAUUGCUAAAAAUGCGCGGAUGAAGGGCUCCUAAUGUUACCAAAAUUUGCUUUGUUGCAUGUCUCUGCAGCUCUACACCUAAACACUUCACUUGUGCGUGGCUCCUUUUUCUUCUUUAUCCUCACAAACCAAACCAACCUGUUACACCACAUUGGGCUACGUAGUUUUACACCAAUUCCAAAAUGUUUGUCAGUGAUGGUAUGUACACUUAUUUAUUAUGUUAUUGUGACUGAUCUGUUUAAUUUAUUUGAAGUGAAGACUGGUGGAAGCCGGCAGGCAGACAGUACGAGCUUGCUUUCUUGGGCUGGCGGGGUGCAUGGUCUUCCCCUAAAUCUGUUGAUUUAGCACUGGCGUCUGCGGGGGGCAAAAUAAGAACACAAGCUCUUCCAAAGCUUGAUGUUUACUUUUUUCUGUCCAAGGCCGAAUUUAGCGUGACGUUAAGGCUGAUGAGUCCUGUGAUGUGUGCUACCUGUGAUUUCCUACGGUGCUGAUUGUUCAUGAAACUCCAUUUGGAUCUGUGUUGUUUAAAAGCUGCUUUUAAUUGUUGUUUGUUAGGUCACCACAGGGUGGCUGUGGGUAACUGUGAUGUCACUAUUUGCCAACUUGCACUACUUCAGUUCUUCCUUCAGUCCAUGAAACCAGAGGGAGAAAUAAAAAAAUGAUGCGCAGUA